AUGUCCAUGAUGUGACAGAGCCUCAACAAAUCCUUGUAUCUCUCCCAUGCUUCUAAAAGAGAUUCAUUUUAUUUUUUCCUAAAUCCGUUGAUUUUACUUCUUAGCGU